rnacentral:miRNA from 1 species
UGUUCCUCUGUCUCCCAGAC